UAAGCCUGCCUGCUUAUCUAUUUAGGAGAUAAUUAAAACUUAGAAGAGGAUCAUUGGUUAGGUGUUUUUACCUUUUUCACAUUUCAUUGGAACCUGUGUUUCCUGAAAUGACAUCCUUUCUGUACGUUCAGAAAAAUGCAGGGUGCUUCUCAAGCUUCCAAGAUGAGUUAUAGAGGAUGUUUUUCCUUUAUUAUUAGGAUACAUGUGGAGUUCUUGCACCUUGAACACUGUGUUUUUUUUGGACCGCACCAUUUCUAACUUGGCUGAACAAAAACAACAGAUUCUCCUGGCAGAAGGGGCCUUUCCUUACCUUGUCCAAACUAAGGCAAAUCCAUUUCUUCAGUUCUUAAGGUUGUUGUAAAAGACAAGAACACUUAAAUCUCUUACGAAUUGGAACUCAUCAAAGGUAGAGCAGUGGGUGAGAAGGCAUGAGAACUGUGCCAAAUCUGGGGGAAGGGAAGAGCAAAAGGAAUGGCCAACAAAUUUGACAACAGGCCAGAGGCUUGAGGCAAAGCUGAAGCCAAGAGAUUCCCAACAUCUGUAAUGGCACAUGGCAGAUUCUUAAUAAGUGUGGGCCGAACAAAUAAAUGUGGAGGGUAAUACUGACUUUCCAUCUGACUUUAAAGAAAACCCUUUUAAUUGUGUUGAUUUACAUUUUAGUGGUUAUGGCUCAGCUUUGGACACAGAGAGAAGGGAAAUGGAGCCCAGCUCUGCCACUUCCCAGUGGCAUGGACAAGGCACUCAGUCUCCAAAUGAAGCUAUUAUGCAUCUAAUUGAUCAUCAGAGGGACGUGUUUAAAUGAACUCUGGUACAACCACACAAUGCAGUCGAAAAGAAUGAGGAUGGUCUUUAUAAAAUGUUAUGGAAAAUUUCUGAAAAAUGUUAAGAAGUUUCCAGAAUAAAGCCAUCCACAAAACCA